rnacentral:rRNA from 1 species
UACGUAGGCAGCAAGCGUUGUUCGGAGUUACUGGGCGUAAAGGGUGUGUAGGCGGUUGUUUAAGUUUGGUGUGAAAUCUCCCGGCUCAACUGGGAGGGUGCGCCGAAUACUGAAUGACUAGAGUGCGGGAGAGGAUAGUGGAAUUCCUGGUGUAGCGGUGAAAUGCGUAGAUAUCAGGAGGAACACCGGUGGUGUAGACGGCUAUCGUGGACCGUAACUGACG